UACGUAGGGUGCGAGCGUUUGUCCGGAAUUACUGGGCGUAAAGAGCUCGUAGGUGGUUUGUCGCGUUGUUCGUGAAAACUCACAGCUUAACUGUGGGCGUGCGGGCGAUACGGGCAGACUGGAGUACUGCAGGGGAGACUGGAAUUCCUGGUGUAGCGGUGGAAUGCGCAGAUAUCAGGAGGAACACCGGUGGCGAAGGCGGGUCUCUGGGCAGUAACUGACGUGGAGGAGCGAAAGCGUGGGGAGCGAACAGG
rnacentral:rRNA from 1 species